rnacentral:rRNA from 1 species
UACGUAGGGAGCAAGCGUUGUCCGGAAUUACUGGGCGUAAAGAGCUCGUAGGUGGUUUGUCGCGUUGUUCGUGAAAUCUCACGGCUUAACUGUGAGCGUGCGGGGGAUACGGGCAGACUAGAGUGCGGUAGGGGAGACUGGAACUCCUGGUGUAGCGGUGAAAUGCGCAGAUAUCAGGAGGAACACCGGUGGCGAAGGCGGGUCUCUGGGCCGUAACUGACGCUGAGGAGCGAAAGCGUGGGGAGCGAACAGG